rnacentral:lncRNA from 1 species
UUUGCAGGCAGGAAAAUGGUGGGUUUUUUUUUUUGUUACAGUUUGAACUCACAGUAUGGGUAUCAUUUUCUUCAUCUUCUUCUUCGUCAUCUUCGUUUUCGUCUUUGCCUUUGUCUGGAUACUGAAAGUUGCCUACCCAAUAAUCCCCCCCUUCCCUUUAAACUAAGAAUACCAACUGUUUUUGAGAAUAUCAGUGUUUACUAUCAAAAGCUUUUCAUGUGUAAUAAAAAGUUUUAGUAGAAAUUAAUUAGUACAAAGGCGUUGAAAGAUUAUAGUCUCAUCUAUUUGCUGUUUUGUGUUUUAUUCUUUAUGUUUGUUCAUGACUGGAAUCUUUUUUAAUUUAAAUUUUUUAAGUUGUUGAUGGAUCUUUAUUUUAUUUAUUUAUAUGUGGUGGUGAGGAUCGAACCCAGUGUCUCAUACACGCUAGGUAAGUACUUGACUACUGAGCUACAACCCCAGCCCUCAUGGCUGGAAUUUUGAUCUAAUGUUUUAAGUUAAUAAAGUGUGUUAUAUUAAUUUGGAUAUAGCUGAGGACUACAUUUCCCUUAAUCACUUCUAAUCCUAGGUGAUAGUUUUCUAAAAUAACUUUGCAAGAAGUUUGAAAGGCUUUAGGGAAGGAGCUACAAUUGCCUGCUUAUUAGGACCACGAUAUAGGUAGACAGAUGAGUAGGGACCUUGUGGGCCCCAGUUUUCAGCUCAUUUUUCUGAGUAUUGAACGCCCUGAUCCAUACUUGCUCAAAACUGAAUGUUAAGUGCUUGACCUCAGUCUCCUCAGGGGCUGCACCUCCACAAAUGUCUCCAUUAACUGCUGUAUCCUGGCCAAACACAACUUAGAUUUCUUUGGCAAGCUCUGGUGUUGCCAUUUUGGCAUUUUUGCUUCUCAUUGCAGUUCCUCUGGCACUUUCACUGCCCUGUUAGAGUUGACCAGUUUGUGGAAGGAUUGUCAUCAUGCUCACAGUUCAGUCCCAUCCUUCACUCUGCUUAUGGGAUUGAUGUCUAUACAAGCCUACCGUGGUCCCAAAAGUGAGUAGAGCUGUGGCUAAUGAAGUUAUCCUGACUGUAAUUGAGGCAAGCCUCAGAUAGGCGUCAUCCUAUUUUGGUAGAGGAGGAUUUAUAUUUGAUACCUUCAGACAGGGAAGAUUUUACUGCCUUUAUGUGAGAAGAGGAGUGCUAUGAGCUGUUUCAGGUAUAUUUUGCUACCUCCUCCCCUUUUUUAAAGCAUUGUAUUUUAAGGGGUGGUGUUGUGGCUCAGUGGUAGAGCAUUUGCCUAUCAUGUAUGAGGCACUGUGUUCGAUUCUCAGCAUGGCAUAUAAAUAAAUGAACAAAAUAAAGGUCUAUUAACAACUAAAUAUAUUUUUGAAAAUUAUAUUUUAUCUCUUAAAAGCAUAACUAUAUCAUUUCCCUUAAUCAGUUUUUACUGUUUAUCAAGGUAUACAUACACUAAUGUGCAAGCUGUGUACAGCUUGAUGUAAUUUGACAUAGAUGUAUACAUCCUGCUAGACACAUUUCCAGGAUUCCAGGAAGUUUUCUCAAUAGUCACUCCACAGAGGAAAUUGGAUUUUGACUCUUAUUAUGCUUGAUUUGGUGUGCUUUUUCUCACUUUUCAAAUAAGUGCUAAAACUACAAUAUAUACUGUUACCUGUUUGGCUUCUUUUACUCAAGAUAAUGUCUGGUUUGUCACUUGGUUGCUCUUAUUUCUCUUGGUAUAUGCUGUAUAUGGGGAAUGCAAUUGCUGAAUGAUAAGGUAGACUUUAAGUGUAGUUUUGGUAUAUACUUUAGAUUUUCAAAAAUGUGGGUUCCACCAGUAAGUCCCCAACAGUGCAUGUGAGUGUUGGCUAUUCCGCAUACUGGGCCCACACUUUCUAACUUUAGCUCUUCAGCAGAGUGUGUGGUGAUAUGUUUUUUUUGUUGUUGAAAUAUGCAUUUUCCUGUUAUGUCAUGAUUUUGAGUACUUUUUGGUGUGCUUAUUGGUUAUUUGGAUAUCUUUAUUAGGCUAACUUUUGAAGCAUUUCACCCAUUUUCAUUUCCUUUUUUCUUUUGAAGUGUUUCCUUGCUGCAAAAAUGUCCUUGGCUAUAACUAAGCUUUAAUCUGGAUUUUGAGGCUAAAAGAUGUGCUUUUGUCUGUCUCCGUGUCUUGGCUGUGCAUCCUUUUGCAUUGUCCUUUCUUCCAGCUGGGAUAUUUUCUUCACAAUAGGCUUCAGAAGUUCUGUGCUGCUUUCUUCCCAAGAUAAUGCUUCAGGGAGAAGAGUGACAUCUUUUUUGAACAGUUCCAAUAUAAUUAUCAAAAUGGAAUCUGAGGAGGGGAGGGUGGAUAGUAGAGGAUAGGAAAGGCAACAGAAUACUAUAGACACUAGUAUGGCAGUAUGUAAAAAUGUGGAUGUGUAACCGAUGUGAUUCUGCAAUCUGUAUAUGGGGUAAAAAUGGGAGUUCAUAACCCACUUGAAUCAAAUGUAUGAAAUAUGAUAUGUCAAGAGCUAUGUAAUGUUUUGAACAACUAAUAAUAAAAAAAAUGUAAAAAAAAAUGGAAUCUGAUUAAUGGCUUAUUUUGUCCACCAUGGCCUUGGGAAUGUGAAUACUCUGAUUUGUUUAGGACCAGCUCCCAGUUUCUCAUUGAGAAACUUAGGUUAGAAUUUGUACCCCUAAAUCAUAGAGCCUUGGCAGUAAUGAUGCACAUGGAGCGGAGAGAGAGGCAGCUGUGAGUAGGUGGGGUCUCAAAAUAGGGGCAAUAUUGCACCUUAUGCUGACUUCGGGAAAUACAAAGUCUGGGAACUUACCCAGUGUUUGUUCCUAGAAAUCCUUUUAGAAUGUCAGAUGCCAUAUGUCUUUUAGAUUGCUAAAAAUUGCUCUCAGUCUUUACAGAACAUAAAAAUAAGUAGAGAUCUGAGUGUUAUUUAUGAAGUAUUUGCCUAGACCAAGAUAAUGAAUAUAUUUUAUGUUUUCUUCUAGACCCUUCAUUGUUUGACUUAUUGUAUUCAGGUUGGUGAUCCAUUUUAAGUAUUUUUGUUUGUUUGUUUGAUAGGGUGUGAGGUAGGAUGCCGGUGUAUGUGUACAGAUUUAUCCACUAGAUCAUGUGUUCGCUCCGUUUAGGUAGGCAAUUUAUGUCUUUUGAUUUGUUUGUCUUUCCUUGCAGCAGCAGCAUACUAUCUUAAUUUGCAUUGCUUUGUAGUAUUUUUGGAAAUCUAGUAAUAAAUUCUAAUUUUAGAAUUUAUUAAUUUUUAUAAAAUAGUCAGGGUCCAUUUUAUAGAAUAACCUAAGGAAAAAUGACAUCUUUACAGAAUUGCAUCUUUCAAUUGAUGAACAUGAUGCAACAAUCCAUUUACCUUGGUUGUCUUUAACUUUUCUGAAGGUGUUUUGUAGUUUAAUUGUAGAGGUCUUGAAUGCCUUUGUUUAAUUUAUUUCUAGAUACGUGGUGUGUUUUGCUUGGUAAUUUUUUUUUUUUAUUUCUAAUUUUUGAAUUAGUACAUACCUUUGCAAUAUCUUUUUCUUACAUCAGCUUUAUAGCUAGUGACAGAAAUUUAACUCACUCAAGUAAUUCUCACCUGGUUUGUAAAACUUUUAUUUAUUUUUCUUGUCUUAUUUAAUGAAUAGAGGUCAUGAAAAUGAAUAUCUUUUCCUUGUUCCUGUAUGAAAGAGUAUUCAACAUCUCACCAUUAAAUAUAAUGCUACUUUUAAAUUUUCAUAGAUAACUUUUAUCAAAUUAAGGGAAUUCUGUUUUGUUCCUGGAUUGUCAAAUGUUUUUAAAAAUCACAAAUUGAUAUUGGAUUUUAUCCAGUGCCUUUUCUGCAUGUAUCAGGGUCUUUAAAAAAUCCUUAAUUCUGUUAACAAAAUGAACUAUACAUUCUUUGAUUUUCAGAUGGUAAAACAACAUGUAUUACUGGAAUCAAUUAAAUUUGUACAUAUUGGUCUAUUAGCCUUUUCAUUUUGCUAGGUUCAACAUGCUAGUUUAAAAAAUGAUGUCUGUAUUUAUAUUGGUGUUUGUUUUAUGAUUUAUCAAAAUAUAUAUAUGAUUGUU